AGUGAACGCUGGCGGUAGGCCUAACACAUGCAAGUCGAACGGCAGCACAGUAAGAGCUUGCUCUUACGGGUGGCGAGUGGCGGACGGGUGAGGAAUACAUCGGAAUCUACUUUUUCGUGGGGGAUAACGUAGGGAAACUUACGCUAAUACCGCAUACGACCUACGGGUGAAAGGAGGGGAUCUUCGGACCUUGCGCGAUUGAAUGAGCCGAUGUCGGAUUAGCUAGUUGGCGGGGUAAAGGCCCACCAAGGCGACGAUCCGUAGCUGGUCUGAGAGGAUGAUCGGCCACACUGGAACUGAGACACGGUCCAGAGUCCUACGGGAGGCAGCAGUGGGGAAUAUUGGACAAUGGGCGCAAGCCUGAUCCAGUCAUACCGCGUGGGUGAAGAAGGCCUUCGGGUUGUAAAGCCCUUUUGUUGGGAAAGAAAAGCAGCAGGUUAAUACCCCGCUGUUCUGACGGUACCCAAAGAAUAAGCACCGGCUAACUUCGUG
rnacentral:rRNA from 1 species